AAACAGAAAUAGGAAUGAGUUUCAGCAAGCACGCAACUCCUUCUAGUCUUGAUUUACACUGUUGUCAGUUGGAGAAUAGAACACCAUAGGCAUAAACUAUAUAGUUACAUUGUACCAUAUAUGUUCAAUGAAGUUAUUUAAAUUUUUUACUUAUGUUAGCCUAAGUUGUCUACAUUUUGCAUGAUUCCAUUUUCAUCUGUUUACUAGUUUAUUGAUCAAUUAUAACGAAAAUAAGUUUAAAUUUAUCAAUGAUUUCAUAUGGGUAUCUAACUACAAAUAUCUCUAUGCAUGUUAAAUUUGUGCUGAUGCAGGUUUUUAUUUUUUCAGUUUUCUGAUAUAUUGAUUUCACCAAAUGCAUCAGAAAAGUCAUUGGAUUUAACUAACUCUUGCACAUAAAUGAAUAGUUGGAUGUUAUGUAUUCUAUGUGCUGUCUUUUUCAACAUUAGUAGCUACAAAAAAAUUUUAAUCAAGAUUUUUGUGGUUGCGCAGAAUUUGAGCAUGCAAUGUUUUGUCAUUUGACUGAUUGGUUUCAUUAUACAGUUUGCCCCAGGGAGUUCGUCAGAAGUGCUUAUUACAUCUGCAGAUUCUUGAAUCAGGGUUGUUGAUGGUGUCGAUCUGAUUCACAAGUUCAAAGGACACUUAGCAAAAAAGGGAAAGACUACGACUUGUAGUAGUACCGGGGCCAAAGCUUUUCACCUAUGAUGAUGUUGUGGAGAGAGUUGCUCGCCAACUUGGCUUGGAUGAUCCAACAAAAAUUAGGCUUACUUCUCACAACUGUUACUCUGAAUAGCCUAAGCCCCAACCCAUCAAGUUCUGGGGUGUAGAACAUCUGUCUGACAUGCUGGUCCACUACAACUAGGUUGUCCAUCACAGUGCCUUCCGCUUGUCUUACUGUUUUGGUCAUGCUACUAUAUCUGAGAAAUUAUAUCUAAUAACAUGUCAUGAAUGACUGGAAUUUUCCAAGUUCAUUUCUUUUGGUGCAGACUUCUGAUAUCCUGUAUUAUGAAGUGUUGGACAUUCCUUUGCCAAAAUUGCAAGGCUUGAAAACUCUGAAAGUUGCUUUCCAUCACUCCACUAAAGAUGAGGUGGUUAUUCACACUAUUAGAUUGCCCAAACAGAGUACUGUAGGGGAUGUAAUCAACGACUUGAAAACCAAGGUUAAUUUUUGUAACUGUUUAUGCACUUCUAUUCGAUGUGGUCCUUGUCUUCUUCAAGGUUUCCUUAAUGCAUGAGCCUAUUAUCCCACUCUUUCUCAAAAGAGGACAAUUGCUUUUCUAAGCUAGUAGUUUAUUGAAACCCAGUUGAUAUGCAAUCAGGAUGCUUCUCAUGUAUUGACUGAUAAAAUGCUGCUAUUUUGGUGCCCUUGGAAGAAAAUCAACUAAC